UUUUUAAUAUGUUUUUUGCUCCACGCGAGAAACAUGCGUACGUGUGCGGAAUAUAUUAAGCGCGGUUCCUUAUUCUCGACGUUUUCGGCAAGUUUAGCUUGCGGGUCAUUAUCGACGCGUGUAGGGGCGUCGUUGCGGUGGAAAAGUGGUCGGAUCCCAUCAGAACUCCGAAGUUAAGCGUGCUUGGGCGAGAGUAGUACUAGGAUAGGUGACCUCCUGGGACGUCCUCGUGUUGCAUUCCC
rnacentral:rRNA from 1 species